AUGUCAACAUGAGCUAAUCUCGGCCUUCAAGACAGAGCUUCUCCUCUAAUAGAACAAUUAACAUUCUUUCACGACCACACUCUAUUAAUUUUAAUUAUAAUCACUGUUCUUGUUGGUUACAUUAUAAGCAUAUUAUUCUUUAAUACUUACAUCAAUCGCUUCCUAUUACAUGGACAAACUAUUGAAAUAAUUUGAACAAUCCUGCCAGCAAUUAUUCUAUUAUUUAUUGCCUUCCCCUCUCUCCGUCUCCUUUAUCUCCUAGAUGAAAUUAAUGAACCAGUCGUUACUCUAAAAGCUAUCGGCCACCAAUGAUACUGAAGUUAUGAAUAUUCCGAUUUUGCUAAUCUAGAAUUUGACUCAUACAUAAUUCCAACAAAUGAAUUAAUAACAGAAGGAUUCCGCCUAUUAGAUGUCGAUAAUCGAGUUAUACUGCCUAUAAAUACUCAAAUUCGAAUUUUAGUCACUGCUGCAGAUGUAAUUCAUUCAUGAACUGUCCCCGCUUUAGGAGCUAAAAUUGAUGGAACUCCAGGACGACUAAAUCAAACCAAUUUUAUUAUUAACCGCCCUGGUUUAUACUAUGGUCAAUGCUCUGAAAUCUGCGGAGCUAAUCAUAGUUUUAUACCUAUUGUAAUUGAAAGUAUUCCAGUAAACAAUUUUAUUAAAUGAAUUCGA
rnacentral:rRNA from 1 species